ACGCACGGGGCCUUUGGCUGCCCCCUCGCCUUACCGCUGCCAUCGUGGUGGUCUCAGGUGUCUGCUCGUGCCACCCAGCCCUUCAGAAAGAGCCCAGCAUGGCGGUGAAGUGGGUGCCGGUGGGCCCUCGGCACCGAGGCAAGGGCAGUAGGAAAAGAUGUUAACACUGAGGCUUCAGUUUCAACCAAGAGAUCAUUUUCUAAAACUGAACUGGCUGGAGUUUGUGUUCUGCAUUAUCUCAUCAAAAGCAACUUUGUUUAUGCACCAAACUGACAAGUACAUCGUUAAACAGUUUCUUAUUUUUCUGACCAGGUUUGUUCCUAUUGUCUUGGAAGGGAAGCUGACCAAAGCUUGAAAAUCAUGAGAGGGCACGUUGUCUUUUAUGUUUAAUACACUUGACUGCUCUCUGUGCCAGUCACAACAUCUGAACAGCACGACUUCAUGCCAGCAUGCAAAUUUUGUACAUUGGAGAUGUUCCAGCUUCUCUUAUUGAAAACUGAAGUAAUUCCACAGUGCACGCAGCGUCUUUGGCACUUCUUUGCACUGUCCUCUGCUGCACAAGAGCCAAUUAUUCACAAAGGUGUUGAAGCCGAGUGAUCCUCUGACUGAAAGCCAGUAGCAAUUUUUCAUCUGGGUACAGUGUCAUCACACAGGAGUGAAAGAGUUCAGCAGAGGUUACUAAUUAUUACGUAAAUGAUGUAGUCUUACCUUGGGUGUCUGGGCAGACCUGGGAGGGUGACCAGGGAUGGAGGAGUGUGAACUGCUCACGGUAUGCUUUGUCUUGGGUCUUGCCUUACCAAAACACACAGUCAUGCUCUGCCAACUCUGUUUGACAGCUUUGUGCUCAUACUGAGUUUCUCAGUCUGGGAGCCACGGCUGAUUGGCAGUGGGGUACAGAGAGCAUCCCGUCCUGCCCUGCGAAACACGCUGUGCUGAGGCGUGGGGAACUCGGGUUUAGUCGGAAGUGUGGCAGCGGGUCACAGGUGGAGAAGCGAUGCACGCUCGGCAACUGUAGGACAGAUCACCUUGCACUAAGCAGAGCUGCCUUAGGGCACCCUGGCACUUAGGCAGGAUUGAAAUCUGCUGGGUUAAGGAAAAAGGGGUUAGGACAGGCUGGACUUUCCCUGGAAGGGACCUGAACGAGAAGGAGGAAGAAUAAGGGAAGGGAAGGAAUGCAUCUGAGGGGGAAACCCUGAAAAUAUGUGCUUCCCUUUCCUGUUAGAGAUACAAGAGGGGGUGAGGCAGCAACGUUUGCUGCUGAGGAGAACCACCUUGCAAGUACUGUUUGUCAUCUCACACGCCCUGAUGGGCCUUGGCAGCCCCAGCACACCCUUAUCUCCAGCAUGUUGGCAAACUCGGCUGUGCCGCAGUUUCCUAAUUCACCAAGGCUGGGACCGAGCUGCUCUUUGUGUUCCCUGCACUUUCCUUCUCCCCAUUCUAACGGGCAGAUUAAUUUUUUUCAUCAUUUGGGGUACAAUUUCAGCUUUAAGCAGAAAAUGUUCACGCGUUGCUUAAGCCUCUAGCAGUUUAAAGGGAAUAUUGCUCUGUCAAGAUACACAGCAAGUGAAAUGCCUACUGUCUCUUAACACUAUUAUAAUGAUGGUGCUUCACUAACAUUCCCCAUGGGCUGGGUCCAUGGAGUAUGCCACAAAGUUUUCCUUUCACUGGAGUCAGCUUGGGGUUGUUUCACACCUACCUUUGCUUUAUUUACACCCGCCUGUUGUUUUGUUAUUUACAGAUCUCGGGUUACAUAAUGCAGCAGCAGCCUCCUUAACGGGUCUACGGAGAAAUUAAAUGAAUUUGCACCCGUUGCGCAGAGCUGCCUGCUAGGAACUUCCAAAGGGACAAACCAUUAUCUGAGUGUGGAAAACCGAGCUACAGAAGAUAAGGAAUUGGGUCUUUUUGAAGGGUGUUUAAAAUGUUGAUGCCUUGAAGUUGUUGGUAUCUUUGAAGUUGUCCAGGGGGGCACCCAAAAGCCGUCUCGCUGCCUUCGUAUCACGCUCACCUGCAAUUAAAAUAAUUUUAGCGGGUUUUUUGUGCGAUGACUGCACGCUGCGGCCUUCUCGUGAGGGUUUUGUUUGGCAUUUCACGUCCCGUACCCAAAAUGGAU